AAAUGAAUUGACGGGGGCCCGCACAAGCGGAGGAACAUGUGGUUUAAUUCGAUGAUACGCGAGGAACCUUACCCGGGUUUGAACGUAGUUUGACAGGGGUGGAAACACCUUUUCUAGCAAUAGCAAAUUACGAGGUGCUGCAUGGUUGUCGUCAGCUCGUGCCGUGAGGUGUCGGCUUAAGUGCCAUAACGAGCGCAACCCUUAUCACUAGUUACUAACAGGUCAAGCUGAGGACUCUGGUGAGACUGCCAGCGUAAGCUGUGAGGAAGGUGGGGAUGACGUCAAAUCAGCACGGCCCUUACAUCCGGGGCGACACACGUGUUACAAUGGCGUGGACAAAGGGCAGCUACCGGGCGACCGGAUGCAAAUCCCUAAACCACGUCUCAGUUCGGAUUGGAGUCUGCAACUCGACUCCAUGAAGCUGGAUUCGCUAGUAAUCGCGCAUCAGCCAUGGCGCGGUGAAUACGUUCCCGGGCCUUGUACACACCGCCCGU
rnacentral:rRNA from 1 species